rnacentral:rRNA from 1 species
ACUUUCAGUAGUGAGGAAAGGUGUAUAGUUAAUAGCAUUACACUGUGACGUUAGCUACAGAAGAAGCACCGGCAAACUCCGUGCCAGCAGCCGCGGUAAUACGGAGGGUGCGAGCGUUAAUCGGAAGUUACUGGGCGUAAAGCGCGCGUAGGCGGUUAGUUUAAGUUGAGGUGUGAAAUACCCUGGGCUCAACCUAGGAACUGCAUUUCAAACUGGAUAACUUGAGUAUGUCAGAGGGUAGUUGGAAUUUCCCCGUGUAGCAGUGAAAAUGCGUAGAUAUGGGAAGGAACAUCAGUGGCGAAGGCGAAUACCUGGGAUAAUACUGACGCUGAGGUGCGAAAAGCGUGGGGGAGCAAACGGGAUUAGAUACCCCUGGUAG